UGCUAGUUGGUAGUAGGUUUUCUCCCUUCCCCCUCCCUUCUCUCUCUUCCCAGAUCAGCAUAGUGUGUGGUAUCGAGACAGGUGCUCUCAAUCGCAAUCAUCUGAGGCACACAAGCUGGUGGGAGUGACUUAAGCACUACCUUCCUCUCCCAUAUAAGCCAGACACUUACUGCUACUCAAUGCCGGGCCAUUGAACUAUCUCAGUUAGUACUGACUCUUGUUCCGUCUCGCUCCUCGUUGUUACUCCUUGUGCUCAUUACUGUCUCAUGUGUUCUACUUCUGGACUCCCUGCAUUCUUGUCAACCCUCAACUGGAUUCCGCAUCAUUCACCCUGUUCAGCCUGGACAGAUCUGGACCACCAUCAGACAAGCUCCGUCAUUCACAGCACCUGUCGAGACGCUGCUAUCUGCCACGCCACACACCACCUCUGCCUGCCUCAUCCCUCCCUGGUUCCCCACACGGUUAUAGUCAGAUAAGUUCCCUGCUCAUUCUCUGAGUCCAGUUCUGAUUCAUGGAUGUUUGUUCACCUUUAUAUUUUCUGAGCGUAUUUUCCAAACAUGUUUCUAGUUUUCCUAGCCACCAAACUUUCGGCGUUUGCGUGUGUGUUGUAUUUAGCGUUUGGUUGUAACUUUCCUGGCUCAGUGAUACCUAGUUCGGAUUAGGUUCCGUUCAUUCAAUUGUUUGUUUGACGAGACUCGGGUAUUAGCUAUCCUCCCCAUGACACUUCCUGUUGUAGUUUUCUGUGACUUUAUAAAUAAAAGUUAUGUUUUUUUGCUCCUACGCUUGUCUGUCGUGUCUCUGUUGUGCUGCGCUUGAGUUUCUGAUUUGGCAUGGUAACGUGCUCACACCAGGGGAUAUUAUGAAUUGUACAGCAGAUCACACAUGGAGAUGUCUGAGAAUCCAAACCUGCUUUAUUAGAAAAAUGAAAACAAUAUGUAAUUCUUUGGAGAGGAUGGAAGCUUUGAUAGACCAACAACUAUUAUACAGUAUUUUAAACCUUGAGACAUUUAUUUUGUGUCAUCAUUCCUGCUCCAGCCCCUGCCUGGCUUCCUCUGUCUCCCUCUUGAUCUGUCCCUCACUUUCCCUCGUGAUCGGUCUCUCCCUUGCUCAUCCUCUCUCUCCCUCUAUCCUUCUCUUUUGCUUUAUCCUCUUUCCCUCUCUCUUUGUCUCGCACUCAUCCUCUCUCUCUCUCUCCCUCUCCUGUCAGUCCUGCCCAGCCUGGAACCUGCUCAUUGAGAGAUUGGAGGUCAGCUCACCUGCCCAUAAUCACUUCUAUAAAAGCCCAGUUCAUUCUUCUUACUUUCUGCCAGACCAUAGACUCUCAUCGACGGUCAUAGCCAGUAUUCCUGCCAGUCCCCAAUCUGUCUCCAACCUGCCUGCUUCAAGCCACUCCGGCCAGUCUGCCUUGUAUCAGCGACAAACUCACUGCCCCAAUGCACCCCUCAGCCAGCCUUCUCUACUGUUGACUCCCGACCAGUCUGCUGUCGAUUCUCCCCCAAGCCACUGCCUCCAGCCUGCCCUAUUUCAGUGAUUCACUCGACUGCCCGAUCCUCCCCUGCCUGUGCCGAUACUCUGCCCCUGUCGUUGUGCACCACAGAGGAGUGAGAGUUAAAUGUGUAAAGGUCAAGCCUACAGGUGGAUAUAGUGGAUGGAGCACAUUAUCACCAGUGUGGUGCUGCUGGUGUCGUGAUGCGUGACCAUUUCAACGCAGGUGGCAACUGACACAAAACAUUUUUUGAAGGUAAGAAAAAAACUACACAAAAUAGCCCAUAAAAUUGAUGUGUCACCUAUUUCAUGUGUCAUUACUGGCUCAUGGAAUCGUUUGUUUUUUUCCUUUCAUUUUCAUUUUAGCUAGCUAAUUUUGUAGCUGCUGUUGUACAGUUACCACAGGAGUGAACAGCAGAUAGCAUUUACUAAUAGCUCUGUGUGUAAUUGUCAAGUUAAAUCAUUUUAGUUUUGUACAGUAACCCAUUUUAAAGAGCUGAUCAUGAAUUUAGUUGGUCUAAGUAUUAUUGUGCAAUCUUAGCAGUGUUUUUUACAAUAAAAUUACAAGCGUUUCCAGUGAAGUGAACCAGUGAAAAAAUUCUAUCAAUAACACAUUCUGAUUUUUGCAUUCUGUAACCAGAUCUAUCUGGUUCAGGGCCAAGAGCAAGUGCUCAAGGUAAAUUCUAAGAUGCCAGAAUAUGCUGCUCUUUUUUUUUCAGAAUUAUCUCUGGCCUCCAAAGCAUUGAACUGAGAAUUCAUCUUGAAAUAAGCAACAAGGAACCAGUUCAUUUAUGAACAGGAAUAAUUGACAUGAUUAAUUUUUUUCUACUCAGUAAGUUUCUCUGACUUCUCUAAAGUGAUGUUGGCAGCAGCAUGCGUCCGUAAACUUUAUUAAGCAUUUUCAUAUCUUGUAGCUGUAUCUUGUAGUUACUCACUCUCAGAGGACACAAUGUCAUCAACAUAUGACAGACAGCGAAAUAAGUUCAAAAAUGCUUUAUUGUGGUGUAUUCUACAUCAUAUUAUAUGAUUAGAAACAGCCCAUUGGUUCGAGUACAUUACUCAGCUGCUUCUUUACCCUGUAAAAUAAAGAAAUAAUGACAUAAAUACAAGCCUAUUAUCACAUUCUGCCUGCAUAAACAUAUGUUGAGGUUUUACCAUUUGUCAGUUUGAUGAAGCAUAAAGCAAAAAUGCAAUUUUUCAGUCAUGAAUUAGUAACUAUCUGAAGUUUAGUCACUAUUUACCUUGCCAGAGUCCCGGCUCUUAGCUCUGAGCUUGUUGACCUGGGAUUCAGCAAUGUCAGCACGCUCCUCAGCCUCCUCCAGCUCAUGCUGGAUCUUCCUGCACUUGGACAGAUGAACAUUGGCCUGCUCCUCCUGGAAUUCAAAAUAUAGUAAAAUGUUUAGGCUUUUAGAAAUGGUCCAUAGGUUUACAGAUGUGAAAUAAUAUAGUGUCAAAUAGUCAUUGUUUUAAACAAAUGCUUUUCCUUACCGCUUCCUCAGCCUGCCUCUUGUAGGCCUUCACCUUCAGCUGCAGCUUGUCAACCAGGUCCUGCAGCCUGGUAACGUUCUUCUUGUCCUCCUCAGUCUGUAAUAGAAAAUAUAAAUUUAUGUAGACUUUUGUAAUGAUAAGUGUUACAUAAAUCUUUCCUGUGUAUUCCAUGUGUCAGUGGAACUUACCUGAUAGGUGAGUUCCUUCACUCUCCUCUCAUAUUUGCGGACACCCUUCACGGCAUCUGCACCACGUCUCUGCUCAGCCUCAACCUCAGACUCCAACUCACGCACCUUUUAAAACAAGAGAAAAUUAAUAAAUUAUCAACAAUUCAUGUGUUUUCAUACAUUUGUUGAACUGCAGAAAUCUGAUCAUAUUUAUCUUACUCUAGACUCGAGUUUCUGGAGCUGCUUCUUGCCACCCUUCAUGGCCAAGUUCUCAGCCUCAUCCAGACGGUGCUGCAGGUCCUUAACAGCAACCUCCAGGUUCUUCUUCAUCCUCUCCAGGUGAGCACUGGUGUCCUGCUCCUUCUUCAGCUCCUCAGCCAUCAUAGCAGCCUGAAAAAAAUGAUUUUUCAGUGUGAAAUGCCAUCACAAGUCUCUGUUGGGUUGGAGUAUAAUAGCAAACAAAUGAUCUUUAAUCCUACAUCAGUGAUAGCCUUCUUGGCCUUCUCCUCUGCAUUCCUUGCUUCCUGAACAGUGUCAUCCACUUCACUCUGGAUCUGGACCAGGUCAGCCUCGAGCUUCUUCUUGGUGUUCAGCAGGCUUGUGUUCUAAAAGAUGAGAAAUUGGUUGUUAUCUCGUCCCUUCCAUGGUUGUUUAGAUUUGUGAAACGCUGGAGAAAUGUUUAAAGUCAUGUUCACCUGAGAGUGCAGAAGUCCAACACGCUCACUGGCAUCCACCAGCUCCUGCUCCGCGACUUUGCGGCUUCUCUCUGUCUGUUCCAGAGCAGCCCUAAGUUCCUCGAUUUCAGCCACCAUCAGACCGUUCCUGCGGUCCACCAUAGCAGCCUGUUCCUUCAGGUCAUCCUGGGCUCUGACAGCAUCAUCAAGGUGCAGUUGAGCAUCCUAGUGCAAAACAUGAUCGGGAAAGUAUUCAUAUGAAUGUCUGAAUGUUGGUGUACUUACUAUCAUGUGUGCAAGGACUCUUUGUGCUCUGUGUAUUACAAUACCUUGAGCUGUGCCUGCACAUUCCUCAGCUGUUUCUGGGACUCAGAAGCCUGGCGAUUGGCAUGGCUCAGCUGAAUCUCCAUCUCGUUCAGAUCUCCCUCCAUCUUCUUCUUGAUUCUCAGGGCAUCGUUUCUACUCCUGACCUCAGAAUCCAGAGUGCUCUGCAUGGAGUCAAUCACCCUCUGGCUGUUCCUCUUGAUCUGCUCCAUCUCCUCAUCUUUCUCUGCCAGCUUCCUGUCAACCUCACCCUUAAUCUGGUUCAGCUCCAGCUGGACACGCAGGAUCUUAGACUCCUCAUGCUCCAGAGUUCCCUAAUGAUAUCAAAGAACUACAUAUUGACCUCUGCCUUUAAAGCUUUUAUGCAAUGUUAGUUCAUGACUUAAAGUUGUUUCUGUUAAGAAGGUCUCCUCAGAGAAACAGACAAAGGUUUACCUCAGCCUCUUCAAGAGCUGUCUGGAUCUCAGACUUCUCUGUCUCCACCUGCUUCUUGGCCUUCUCCAGCUCAUGGAUGCUCUUGCCAGUCUCACCAAUCUGUUCAGUCAGAUCUGAGAUCUCCUCUGCAGAUGGAUGCAGAUGUUUAAUAUGUGAAAGCUGUGAAAUGGCAAUUGUACAACUUUCCUCUGACAAACACAUGCACGUCUUUUAAAGCAACUAAGUUCUAACAGCUAACUGCUGUUGUUAAUACAAUGUGGUAUUAACUCACGCUGCAGGUUCUUGUUUUCACGCUUCAUGGUCUCCAGCUGAUCCAGAGCCUCCUCAUAAGAGUUCUUCAUCUUGAACAGCUCAGUGCUGAGAGUACGAGCCUCCUUCUGAGCUCCCUCAAGCUCUGCCUGACCCUCCUCAUACUUCUGCUUCCACUCUGCCAGCACCUGAACAACACAGUUUAUACAGUUAUAUAUACAUACAUCCAGAAAUCCCUUUUCUAGCUUCAUUUCUUGGUUGCAAAAAGUAAAAGAUGUUACCUUGUCAAAGUUCCUCUGCUUCUUGUCCAGGUUGGCAGCCAGCCCAUUAGCUCUCUCCACAUCAAUCAUGAGGUCCUCCACCUCACUCUGGAGCCUCUGUUUGGUCUUCUCCAGAGAGGCACAUUUGGAAUUGACAGCCUCAAUCUGCUCCUCAGCCUCCUGAAGGCGCUGAGCCAACUUUUUCCUGUAGGAAAAGUCACAUUUGUCUUGUUAUUUGUCGACCUAUGCUGUAAUGCUAUACGUCUGAAUAUUCAGUUGUUUGAAUAUUACUCACUUGGCUUCCUCAAGCUCCUCUGUGCGCUGGAUAGCGUCGGUUUCAUACUUAGUUCUCCACUGAGCCACCUCACUGUUAGCCUUGGACAUUCCACGCUGCAGCUCAGCCUUGGCCUCCUGCUCCUCCUCAAACUGCUCCCUCAGCAGGUCGCAGUCAUGGCGGGCAGAUUGCAGUCCAUGGGCAAGAGCAUUCUUGGCCUGGAAUUAGACAUACAAUUGAAUGUGCAAAAUGUCUAAAUCCCCAACCAAUAAUGGCAAUACAUAUUUAAGAUGAAGGUUUCUUACCUUAACCUCCUCUUCAAUCUGCCUCUUCAGCUCCUCAAUCUGCUGAGUGAAGGCCUGUUUCCCUCUGGUCAGCUGGGAUACAAGAGCCUCUUUCUCCUCAAUUUGACGGCCAAACUCACCUGGAGUGAAAACAAUCAUCAAACUUUAGUCUUUGUUCCGUUUCUCUGUCAAACAGUGAAGAUCACUGCAUUUAGACACUGUUUUGUACAUACCGUUUUCUGUGAGGAGACGAGCUUUCUGUGCACCUGCAUCAUUCAACUGGCGGAUGUUUUCAUCAUUCUUGGUCUUCAGUUCACUAAGUUGGUCCUCAAGAGUACGGCACAUCUUUUCAAGAUUUCCCUAAGAAGGAGAAGAGAAAUCAGAUCAAUGAUUUGGUUGUCUUUAUAUUGAUUACAGUUUUACUGUCAUUUAGAUAUUUAGCACCACAAGUGAAUGUGUUGUGUACCUUUGCUUUAGCAACAGCCUCCAUGUUGCUGGAGAGGUCAUCAAUCUCCAUCUUGUAUUCACUCUUCUCCUUCUCAAGCUUCUGCUUGACGCGCUGCAGGUUGUCGAUCUGCUCUCCCAGCUCAGCGACGCUGUCGGCCUGCUUCUUGCGAAGAGCAGCAGCCGUGGCUUCAUGCUGCAGAGUAGAUUCCUCAAGGUCACGACGGAGCUUCUGGAACUCAGCUUCACGCUUCUUGUUCAUCUCAAUCUGAGCAGCAGUUGCACCGCCGGCCUCCUCCAGCCUCUCGCUGAUCUCCUCAAGUUCCCUGGAGAGGUCAGCCCUCUGCUUCUCAACCUUGGCACGAGCAGCACGCUCAGCCUCAAUCUCCUCCUCCAGUUCCUCAAUGCGGGCCUGUUGGAUGUAGAUAUGUAGUUUUUCAGUAAAUGUUCAACUUUGAGUGACCAAGUAGGAAAUUCAUAAGUGAUGUUUGAAGUAGCACAACGGAUCCGUGACCUGAAGCUCCUUGAUCUUCUUCUGAAGCUGGGCACCCAUUGACUGCUCAUCCUCAAUCUUGCUAAGGAGCUGGCUAAUUUCAAAGUCCUUCCUGUGAGAGUGAUGAAAUGCAUAGUAAGAAUUCAUUCAUACUCUGGACCAUGUCUCCAGACAUAUUCAUUUUUUUUUUCAAUUGAGAUUACAGGCUGAACUUAGUUACUUUUUAGUUUUCUCCUCGGACUGUUGCUUGUCGUUCUCAAGAUCCAUGAUGGAUUCCUGAGCCAGUUUCAGAUCACCCUCCAGCUUCCUCUUGGCUCUCUCAAGGUCCAUACGAAGCUUCUUCUCUUGCUCCAAAGAGCCCUCAAGCUGCACAGGAAUAUGGGUUUGUUAUUGUCAUAUUCAAGAUUCAAGAAGGAUCCUGUUGGACUUGUCCAGACGACUUAAAACUUACAUCAUCGACUUGCUGCUCAAGCUUGGUCUUGGCCUUGGUCAGAGUAUUGACUUUGUCUUCCUCAGCCUGCAGGUCAUCCAGAGUCUGCUGAUGAGCCUCCUGAAGGGCUUUCUUCUCCUUGGUCAGCUUAGCAAUGCUCUCAUCCUGAGAGGCCAUCUCCUCAGUCAGGUUCUUCACCUGUGUUUGCAGGAAACAUGUUAUUUUUGUGUGAAGACAUCAUUCCAAAAUGUUAUUUUAUCUGCUCGAUAUAUUCAAGUUUACAAACCUUGUUCUCAGUGGCAUGUUUCUCCUUUUCCACUUUGGCCAAGGUAAGCUCCAGGUCAUCAAUAUCCUUUUUGAGCUCAGAGCAUUCGUCCUCCAGCUUUCUCUUCUUGGCAGUGAGCUCAGCAUUGAUUUCCUCUUCAUCCUCCAGUCUCUCAGUGGUCUCUUUGAGUUUGGCCUCCAGCUGAAUCUUGCUCUUGAUGAGACCUUCACAUCUCUCCUCAGCAUCUACCAGAUUCU